rnacentral:rRNA from 1 species
UACGUAGGGGGCAAGCGUUGUCCGGAUUUAUUGGGCGUAAAAGGCUUGUAGGUGGCCACGCCAAGUCGGCUGUGAAAUCUCCCGGCUCAACUGGGAGGGGUCAUUCGAUACUGGCGGGCUCGAGGCCGGUAGGGGGAAGUGGAAUUCCCGGUGUAGUGGUGGAAUGCGUAGAUAUCGGGAGGAACACCAGUGGCGAAGGCGGCUUCCUGGACCGGUUCUGACACUGAGGAGCGAAAGCGUGGGGAGCGAUCCGG